rnacentral:rRNA from 1 species
CCUCGGGUGACGAGCGGCGGACGGGUGAGUAAUGUCUGGGAAACUGCCUGAUGGAGGGGGAUAACUACUGGAAACGGUAGCUAAUACCGCAUAACGUCGCAAGACCAAAGUGGGGGACCUUCGGGCCUCAUGCCAUCAGAUGUGCCCAGAUGGGAUUAGCUAGUAGGUGGGGUAACGGCUCACCUAGGCGACGAUCCCUAGCUGGUCUGAGAGGAUGACCAGCCACACUGGAACUGAGACACGGUCCAGACUCCUACGGGAGGCAGCAGUGGGGAAUAUUGCACAAUGGGCGCAAGCCUGAUGCAGCCAUGCCGCGUGUGUGAAGAAGGCCUUCGGGUUGUAAAGCACUUUCAGCGGGGAGGAAGGCGUUGAGGUUAAUAACCUUCGUCGAUUGACGUUACCCGCAGAAGAAGCACCGGGCUAACUCCGUGCCAGCCCGCCGCGGUAAUACGGAGGGUGCAAGCGUUAAUCGGAAUUACUGGGCGUAAAGCGCACGCAGGCGGUCUGUCAAGUCGGAUGUGAAAUCCCCGGGCUCAACCUGGGAACUGCAUUCGAAACUGGCAGGCUAGAGUCUUGUAGAGGGGGGGUAG